UACGUAGGGGGCGAGCGUUGUCCGGAUUCAUUGGGCGUAAAGAGCUCGUAGGCGGUUCGGUAAGUCAGGUGUAAAAACUCCAGGCUCAACUUGGAGAGGCCACCUGAUACUGUCGUGACUAGAGUCCGGUAGAGGAGCAUGGAAUUCCUGGUGUAGCGGUGAAAUGCGCAGAUAUCAGGAGGAACACCAGCGGCGAAGGCGGUGCUCUGGGCCGGAACUGACGCUGAGGAGCGAAAGCGUGGGGAGCGAACAGG
rnacentral:rRNA from 1 species